rnacentral:lncRNA from 1 species
AACCACUAAUCUCAUUCUCUCAAUCAACUCACAUUCACAAAAAAAAAUCUAAGAAGCUCCACUCAUGUGAAAAUGCAGUGACUACACUCCACCAACACUACUAGGAUUCCAAACUCCACCUUAUAAAUCCUCACACCACCGUGAUUUUUCCACUGUGUGAACUCACAAACCUCAAACAACCAUUGUGAUUCACGCUGCAACUUCCAUCCUUCAUACUGCACCUUCUUAUAACUCAUGUAUCCAUUCAAUCUUCCAUAAAAAAAC